AGAUCCUCCAUUGCGAGCCGGGGGCCGGGCCGAGCCGCUGCUGCUCCCCGGCGGGGUCUGUGCGGAGAGAGACCGGCACUAACCCCCCGCUCCGCCCCGGGCUCGGCCCGCAGCAGCCCCCGAGCCGGAGCCCGCAGGGGCCGGUGACCUUCGAGGAGGUGGCUGUGUAUUUCACCCAGGGGCAGGGGGCUCUGCUGGACCCCACUCAGAGAGCCCUCUACAGGGACGUCAUGCAGGAGAACUACGAGACGGGGACCUCGCUGGCAGCCACAACACCUGAAGAAAAGACACCACUUUGAAGUGGGGGAGUGGUCCUGGCUGAAAGGAUUCCAGCCGGCCAGACUGCUAAAGCAUGUGGAAUUAACGGGCUUUAUAUGAGCUUGUGUUGUCCAGGAGGCAAGUCUGGGACUAGGAAUUUGGUGGUGUUACUCUGCAGUGUCAUUCAGGAGUAGCCGGUUAUAGCACUCCUACAAUAAGCUGGAGGCACUGUGCAUGCUUGAAGCCGUGUGUCAGCAGACCAGAAGUGGCUGCCGUCAGACUGAAGCAGUGUAAAGGCAUCCCAGGCUGGAGAAUUGAGGGGACGCAGCUGUUCAACAGUCCAGAUUGCUGUGACAUUACUCAGGGUACAAUGCAAACCGGAGUACCAAGCAAUUAGAAAUAGAGGAAGACUGAGCCUGCGUUGACUAGACAUGGUGAAGAAUGUCAUAGAAUAAAAUGGACUAAAGGGGAUGGAAGCCAUGAUCGGAUAUAAGACAGAAGGUGGUGGGAAGACCAACUGCUGCUGAGCUGGUGGAUGGGAAACAAA